rnacentral:rRNA from 1 species
UACGUAGGGUGCAAGCGUUGUCCGGAAUUAUUGGGCGUAAAGAGCUCGUAGGCGGUUUGUCGCGUCUGCUGUGAAAUCCCGAGGCUCAACCUCGGGUCUGCAGUGGGUACGGGCAGACUAGAGUGCGGUAGGGGGAGAUUGGAACUCCUGGUGUAGCGGUGGAAUGCGCAGAUAUCAGGAAGAACACCGAUGGCGAAGGCAGAUCUCUGGGCCGUGAACUGACGCUGAGGAGCGAAAGCAUGGGGAGCGAACAGG